rnacentral:rRNA from 1 species
CCUACGGGAGGCAGCAGUGAGGAAUAUUGGUCAAUGGACGAGAGUCUGAACCAGCCAAGUAGCGUGAAGGAUGACUGCCCUAUGGGUUGUAAACUUCUUUUAUAUGGGAAUAAAAUGUUCCACGUGUGGGAUUUUGUAUGUACCCUAUGAAUAAGGAUCGGCUAACUCCGUGCCAGCAGCCGCGGUAAUACGGAGGAUCCGAGCGUUAUCCGGAUUUAUUGGGUUUAAAGGGAGCGUAGGUGGAUUGUUAAGUCAGUUGUGAAAGUUUGCGGCUCAACCGGAAAAUUGCAGUUGAAACUGGCAGUCUUGAGUACAGUAGAGGUGGGCGGAAUUCGUGGUGUAGCGGUGAAAUGCUUAGAUAUCACGAAGAACUCCGAUGGCGAAGGCAGUUCACUGGACUGCAACUGACACUGAGGCUCGAAAGUGUGGGUAUCAAACAGGAUUAGAUACCCCUGUAGUC